GGGUUGUGAGGUUAAGCGACUAAGCGUACACGGUGGAUGCCCUGGCAGUCAGAGGCGAUGAAGGACGUGCUAAUCUGCGAUAAGCGCCGGUAAGGUGAUAUGAACCGUUAUAACCGGCGAUUUCCGAAUGGGGAAACCCAGUGUGAUUCGUCACACUAUCAUUAACUGAAUCCAUAGGUUAAUGAGGCGAACCGGGGGAACUGAAACAUCUAAGUACCCCGAGGAAAAGAAAUCAACCGAGAUUCCCCCAGUAGCGGCGAGCGAACGGGGAGGAGCCCAGAGCCUGAAUCAGCAUGUGUGUUAGUGGAAGCGUCUGGAAAGGCGCGCGAUACAGGGUGACAGCCCCGUACACAAAAGCGCAUGUGCUGUGAGCUCGAUGAGUAGGGCGGGACACGUGGUAUCCUGUCUGAAUAUGGGGGGACCAUCCUCCAAGGCUAAAUACUCCUGACUGACCGAUAGUGAACCAGUACCGUGAGGGAAAGGCGAAAAGAACCCCGGCGAGGGGAGUGAAAAAGAACCUGAAACCGUGUACGUACAAGCAGUGGGAGCCCCACCACUAAGCCAGUGGUGAACUCCACAUCCGCAUCCUUUGCUGAGGAUACGGUUAACGGAGCGAAAGCGACGUUCAACCGCAAAACAAGCAGAGGGGGCUUAG
rnacentral:rRNA from 2 species